CACAUGCAAGUCGAGCGGAAACGAGUUAUCAGAACCUUCGGGGGACGAUAACGGCGUCGAGCGGCGGACGGGUGAGUAAUGCCUAGGAAAUUGCCCUGAUGUGGGGGAUAACCAUUGGAAACGAUGGCUAAUACCGCAUGAUGCCUACGGGCCAAAGAGGGGGACCUUCGGGCCUCUCGCGUCAGGAUAUGCCUAGGUGGGAUUAGCUAGUUGGUGAGGUAAGGGCUCACCAAGGCGACGAUCCCUAGCUGGUCUGAGAGGAUGAUCAGCCACACUGGAACUGAGACACGGUCCAGACUCCUACGGGAGGCAGCAGUGGGGAAUAUUGCACAAUGGGCGCAAGCCUGAUGCAGCCAUGCCGCGUGUGUGAAGAAGGCCUUCGGGUUGUAAAGCACUUUCAGUCGUGAGGAAGGUAGUGUAGUUAAUAGCUGCAUUAUUUGACGUUAGCGACAGAAGAAGCACCGGCUAACUCCGUGCCAGCAGCCGCGGUAAUACGGAGGGUGCGAGCGUUAAUCGGAAUUACUGGGCGUAAAGCGCAUGCAGGUGGUUUGUUAAGUCAGAUGUGAAAGCCCGGGGCUCAACCUCGGAAUUGCAUUUGAAACUGGCAGACUAGAGUACUGUAGAGGGGGGUAGAAUUUCAGGUGUAGCGGUGAAAUGCGUAGAGAUCUGAAGGAAUACCGGUGGCGAAGGCGGCCCCCUGGACAGAUACUGACACUCAGAUGCGAAAGCGUGGGGAGCAAACAGGAUUAGAUACCCUGGUAGUCCACGCCGUAAACGAUGUCUACUUGGAGGUUGUGGCCUUGAGCCGUGGCUUUCGGAGCUAACGCGUUAAGUAGACCGCCUGGGGAGUACGUCGCAGAUUAAAACUCAAAUGAAUUGACGGGGGCCC
rnacentral:rRNA from 1 species